rnacentral:rRNA from 1 species
GACAGAGGUCUCAAGCGUUAGGCGGAAUCACUGGGCUUAAAGCGUGUGUAGGCGGAUCGUUAAGUGCUUUGUGAAAUCCCACAGCUCAACUGUGGAACUGCUUGGCAUACUGGCGGUCUUGAGCCAUCUAGGGGUCGCUGGAACAAACGGUGGAGCGGUGAAAUGCGUAGAUAUCGUUUGGAACACCAGUGGCGAAGGCGACUCUUUGGCCUGUAACUGACGCUGAGGCGCGAAAGCGUGGGGAGCAAACAGG